UGAGGAAUAUUGGUCAAUGGGCGCAAGCCUGAACCAGCCAUCCCGCGUGCAGGAAGACGGCGCUAUGCGUUGUAAACUGCUUUUCCAGGGAGAGAAACUUGCGCACGUGUUGCGCAAUUGACGGUACCCUGGGAAUAAGCAUCGGCUAACUCCGUGCCAGCAGCCGCGGUAAUACGGAGGAUGCGAGCGUUAUCCGGAUUCAUUGGGUUUAAAGGGUGCGUAGGCGGACUAUUAAGUCAGUGGUGAAAUCCUGCAGCUUAACUGCGGAACUGCCAUUGAUACUGAUAGACUGGAGUUUGGUUAAGGUAGGCGGAAUGUGUAAUGUAGCGGUGAAAUGCUUAGAUAUUAAACAGAACACCAACUGCGUAGGCAGCUUACUGAG
rnacentral:rRNA from 1 species